UACGAAGGGUGCAAACGUUGCUCGGAAUUAUUGGGCGUAAAGCGCACGUAGGCGGCUAUCUAAGUCGGAUGUGAAAUCCCUCGGCUUAACCAAGGAAGUGCACCCGAAACUGGAUAGCUUGAGUACAGAAGAGGAUCGCGGAAUUCCCGGUGUAGAGGUGAAAUUCGUAGAUAUCGGGAGGAACACCGGUGGCGAAGGCGGUUCUCUGGGCCUGUACUGACGCUGAGGAGCGAAAGCGUGGGGAGCGAACAGG
rnacentral:rRNA from 1 species